rnacentral:lncRNA from 1 species
UUCCCGUGCAGACACUACUGAUACAUUUUCAGAACCGAGCGACCAUGAAGGAAGACGAACCAUGAGCUCAAAAUCAUCAUUCCGGUCUGGGCGUCCUAAAACGCAGAAGUGGAAGGUUUCCAGUUACACCGGCAAGGAUAUGGCGAGAUCAGUCUUGGU